rnacentral:rRNA from 1 species
UACGUAGGGGGCAAGCGUUGUCCGGAAUCAUUGGGCGUAAAGAGCGUGUAGGCGGCUCGAUAAGUCUGCUGUGAAAGUCCAGGGCUCAACCCUGGAAGGCCGGUGGAAACUGUCGGGCUAGAGUCCGGAAGAGGCGAGUGGAAUUCCCGGUGUAGCGGUGAAAUGCGCAGAUAUCGGGAGGAACACCAAUGGCGAAGGCAGCUCGCUGGGACGGUACUGACGCUGAGACGCGAAAAGCGUGGGGAGCAAACAGGG